CGGCACGGCUGGAGGCAGUGGCUCACCUGCUGCUCUUUGUGUUCUCUCCCUCUCUCUCUCUCUCUCUCUUCCUUUCUCUCUCAGUGGCAAGAUACACACCAGCAGCUCUAGCUUUCCUCUUGACCUACCAGGAACACCAGCGGACAGGACUAGACAGCCUCUCUUCACAAGAGUUCACAGCUGUCCUAGAAGUGAGUCUCUGGCUCACGGGGCCACAUGCUCACCCUGGAUGCCAUCUCUGUGGCCAGAGGGAUGGAAGAAGCCGAUUGCUCAGGCCUCAGUCACAUGCCGUCUCCUGGAGCCGGGAAUAAGGCCAUCCCCACAUGGACCGCACUGUAAGGGAGGAGGGGCUGCCUGGUGCUCGUGCCAAAAGAAAGGACUGCGCUGGCUGCUGUGUUGAGGAUAGAGCCGCUCUGUCCAUUAUGGAAGCUGUGAGCCACAUGCGGCUGUCGAAAGCUUGAACCAUGGCUGGCCUGAUUGAGAUGCGCUCUGCAUACAUGCACAUCGGAUGCUGAAGACUUACGAUGGGAGAAAGCAGCACUGCUCUAGACACUCCAGGCCGGGGGCAGAAGCUGGGAGACAGUUAGGAGCCCACAGCCAUAAUCCAGGCGAGAGGGGAUGGCAGCCGAGCCAGUGGUGAGCAGCGGUGGAAUUCUAGGCGUGUUGGGAAGAAGAGUUGGCGGCUGGACCACGGGACAUUGCUUCGUAGAUGUGUGUGGAACGAGUACUUGGCACAGGCCCUGCCAC
ensembl:lncRNA